AUAAUCAUUAGUCUCUUAAUUAGAGUCUUGUAUGAAAGAUUUGAUGAAAUAUUAACUGUCUCAUUUUAAAUGUAAUUAAAAUUUAAUUUUUAAGUCAAAAAGCUUAAAUAAAUUUAGAGGACGAGAAGACCCUAUAGAACUUUAUAAAUAUAUUAUUAUAAAUUUUAUAAGAAAUAAUUUAAUUAAUAUUAUUAUAUUUAUUUCAUUGGGAUGAUGAAUAGAUUAAUUUAACUCUAUUAUAUAAAUAAUAAAAUCAUAGAUUUAUGUUUAAAUUUUAUCUUAUAUUAUGAAAUAUAAAUUAAGUUACCUUAGGGAUAACAGCGUAAUUUUUUUUUAAAGUUCAUAUUAACAAAAAAGAUUGC
rnacentral:rRNA from 1 species